AACGAACGCUGGCGGCAUGCCUAACACAUGCAAGUCGAACGAGACCUUCGGGCUUAGUGGCGCACGGGUGCGUAACGCGUGGGAACCUGCCCUUAGGUUCGGAAUAACUUCCCGAAUGGGGUGCUAAUACCGGCUAAUGUCCUCGGACCAAAGAUUUAUCGCCUUUGGAUGGGCUUGCGUUGGAUUAGCUAGUUGGUAGGGUAAAAGCGUACCAAGGCGACGAUCCAUAGCUGGUUUGAGAGGAUGAUCAGCCACACUGGGAAUGAGACACGGCCCAGACUCCUACGGGAGGCGGCAGUGGGGGAUAUUGGACAAUGGGCGAAAGCCUGAACCAGCAAUGCCGCGUAAGUGAUGAAGGCCUUAGGGUUGUAAAGCUCUUUUACCCGGGAUGAUAAUGACAGUACCGGGAGAAUAAGCACCGGCUAACUCCGUG
rnacentral:rRNA from 1 species